GAUGAACGCUAGCGGCAGGCUUAACACAUGCAAGUCGAGGGGUAUAGGUUUUCGGACCUAGAGACCGGCGCACGGGUGCGUAACGCGUAUGCAAUCUACCUUUCACAGAGGGAUAGCCCAGAGAAAUUUGGAUUAAUACCUCAUAGUAUAGCAGUUUCGCAUGAAACCACUAUUAAAGUAUCAACGGUGAAAGAUGAGCAUGCGUCCCAUUAGCUAGAUGGUAAGGUAACGGCUUACCAUGGCUACGAUGGGUAGGUGUCCUGAGAGGGAGAUCCCCCACACUGGUACUGAGACACGGACCAGACUCCUACGGGAGGCAGCAGUGAGGAAUAUUGGUCAAUGGACGCAAGUCUGAACCAGCCAUGCCGCGUGCAGGAUGACGGUCCUAUGGAUUGUAAACUGCUUUUGUACGAGAAGAAACAACAUUACGUGUAAUGUCUUGACGGUAUCGUAAGAAUAAGGAUCGGCUAACUACGCACCAGCAGCCGCCGUAACAC
rnacentral:rRNA from 1 species